CAUACAAAUUAGUUCAACACUAUUACCCGCCAAAAAAAGGAGCGGCUUGGAUAUGAAGCAGAACAAAUUGCAAUAUAUCACAACUGUCCCCGAUGUUUCCCAAUAUAUCGCCGAACACCCCAACCAGCCUUCUAAACGCUGCGUUUCGUGUCCUCCAGACUCUCAGACGCGAAUCGCGAUGUCCGGUGAUUCGAAGCUCUCGCGGCUGUGCCGUUUGGACGACGAUUUUCUCCGUCCGUACACGAACCCGGCGUCGUUUUGGUAGACCAAGAGAUGGAAGUUCCGGUCACUCUCUCUCAGGUUCUUCGACAAGUCAAGCUCUGGACCCAAGCACUUGAUUCCGGCUCUGAAAAUGGAGUGGCGAUAGGAUUGGAUUGUAAAAGUGAUUGUAUGUGUCCGACUAAAAUCGAAACUCACUUGUGGAGAGUCAAUAUGUCAAGCAUCUGGCGUGCAAUGUUCUUGUUGCUGUGUCGGAAGUCCUUGUUGAUUCGAGCUGAUGAUCUUCAUUCUGGUUCGUCGAGGUUGAUUCUUGCGUUAAAGCUUAAACUGGAAAAUGUUGACUGGUCUAUCGUGGCUGGUGUAGUUCGGGUUUUACGUGAUAUAAGGAAAUAUUUGAAGUCAGAAGACGAUGAUGAACUUGUUGAAGCGUUCUUUGAUUCUAUCAAUUCCGUUCUUUCAACUGUGCCUUGGAAUUUACUAGAUGAGAUUCAUGUUGGUGCAAAGCCUGAUGUUCAGAAAGGGUCCAGAGCAGAUGCUUUGUUUCAAAGAUCCUUGUUUCUAGGAAAUUUGAUUCAGUUUCUCUGUUCCAUGGUUGAGCAAAGUGGUUCUGCGGAAGCUUCAGGUGGAUCUAUAGACAAACAUCACCCAGUUUUUUCUACAUUCAUCACCCUUGUUCCGCAGCUUUUAUGUUGGUGCCUUGGUGAGCAAGCACAUUGCAUUAAUUUCAACAAGUGCAUCUCUCAAUACUUUAGACACAAGUUAUUGAUGCUUAUGAUCAGGCUCAUUUUCCAAACCUACCCUCAGCAGUCAGUUCUUGUUUCAUGGUUGCAACUAGUCCAUGAUUACUUUGGAGAGCUUCUGCAGCAACCCAUUACUCCUCUUGAAUACCUGGAUGAUUGCCUAGAAGGGUCUCCAUUUCUAUCCAAUGUUUCUGAUGCAGAAGUAAACAGUUUGUCUUCCCACCAUCUGCAAAGACAGGCUGUUUUCCUCUUUGUGAGGUGUUAUUUUGGUUUGAUUAGCUCGAAAGUAGGAACUAACAACAAAUGUGCUUGUGCUAUUUGGAACUUACGCUUGAUGUGUGACUCAAAAACAGAGCUGGAUUGUUGUGCAAGAAAGAAAGGUCUAUUGGAGCUUUAUAUCUCCGCUUCAAGGGCAUCUUCCAACUGAUAUGUCAGUGGACCAUGAAAUGUAUUUUGAAAAAUGUGCAACUUUGCUAAAUCAUUCCUCCAACUAUACAUUAAAGAGGAUGAUGUAUUAUUCAAAGUUCUCCUGCAAUUGCUCUCUGUACCUUUUUGUGCCGAAGAAUGGUUGGAAAAGGAAAAGGGAGCGUUUCAGGAUUCAGAGGGCAAUACUAUUUUUUCAUGUCUCGGAUGUUGUCAAUCCUGUGCUCUUAUUCCAUCUAUUUCUGUUAGAGGCAAG